GUAACAGGUGACUUGAAUUUCAAGUGAUUAUCAUAAAUGGAGGAUUAGAAAAGAGACACCAACUCUGGAACCAGUUCAAUGCAAUUCUUUGAGAGACUGUAACUUAGUGCUCAUAAAGACUUGGAAUGAUCUACACUGCAUAGUGUAGCUGUUAGAGGACGUGACAUCAAAGCUUUAGGUACUGAGAGGGAUACUUCCUACUGUAGAAGGGAAGAAAAGAAAAAAGCAAAGCUCAGUGUCCUAUGUCACCUGUCCUGAGACAUUGCAAGAAGGAAAAACAAAAGAGAGCAUUCUUGAGCUAUUCCAAAGAGAUCACAGAGGCCACCACCAAAGAGAAGAGUAAGAAUCUACCAUAGUUUGCCUCACUACUUCUUGGAAGAGCAGUGGAGAGAAAAAUAUUGUUUCUUUUUCUUGGGAAAUUGGCAGAGGCAUGCCGAAGAAAUCAGCCACAGCUGUUCUCCACACCUGGCUAUGUUUUUAAUAAGCGCUUAACGCACCCGCCCACCGGAAAGGGUGGUCUGUGGUGCCUAUGGUGUUGUCUCUCCGGGGCGCUUCUGGGCAGCUUUCUCUGUGACCCGGAGAGCGAAGAGUCUAUUUCCAUCACAUUUCAGCUGCCAAACUCCCCUUUAAAUGUAAGUAA